rnacentral:rRNA from 1 species
AUUGAACGCUGGCGGCAUGCCUUACACAUGCAAGUCGAACGGCAGCACGGGUGCUUGCACCUGGUGGCGAGUGGCGAACGGGUGAGUAAUAUAUCGGAACGUACCUUAUUGUGGGGGAUAACGCAGCGAAAGCUGUGCUAAUACCGCAUAAUCCCUAAGGGGGAAAGCGGGGGACCUUAAGGCCUCGCGCAAUUAGAGCGGCCGAUACCUGAUUAGCUAGUUGGUUAGGUAAAGGCUCACCAAGGCAACGAUCAGUAGCCGUACUGAAAGGACGAUCAGCUACACUGGGACUGUGACACGGCCCAGAAUCCUACGGGAGGCAGCAGUGGGGAAUUUUGGACAAUGGGGCAACCCUGAUCCAGCGAUGCCGCGUGAGUGAAGAAGGCCUUCGGGUUGUAAAGCUCUUUUGUCAGGGAAGAAACAGCAGCUCUAACACAGUAUGCGAAUGACGGUACCUGAAGAAUAAGCACCGGCUAACUACGUGCCAGCCGCCGCGGUAACAC